UGGGGAAUCUUGGACAAUGGGCGAAAGCCUGAUCCAGCCAUGCCGCGUGAGUGAUGAAGGCCUUAGGGUUGUAAUGCUCUUUUUGGCGGGGACGAUAAUGACGGUACCCGCAGAAUAAGCCCCGGCUAACUUCGUGCCAGCAGCCGCGGUAAUACGAAGGGGGCUAGCGUUGUUCGGAAUUACUGGGCGUAAAGCGCACGUAGGCGGAUCAGCAAGUCAGGGGUGAAAUCCCGGGGCUCAACCUCGGAACUGCCUCUGAUACUGCUAGUCUAGAGUCCGGAAGAGGUGGGUGGAAUUCCUAGUGUAGAGGUGAAAUUCGCAGAUAUUAGGAAGAACACCGGUGGCGAAGGCGGCCCACUGGUCCGGUACUGACGCUGAGGUGCGAAAGCGUGGGGAGCAAACAGGAUUAGAUACCCUUGUAGUCCCUGAGCGGGCUGGCAAGGCGCAU
rnacentral:rRNA from 1 species